UACGUAGGGCGCAAGCGUUAUCCGGAAUUAUUGGGCGUAAAGAGCUCGUAGGCGGUUUGUCGCGUCUGCCGUGAAAGUCCGGGGCUCAACUCCGGAUCUGCGGUGGGUACGGGCAGACUAGGGUGAUGUAGGGGAGACUGGAGUUCCUGGUGUAGCGGUGAAAUGCGCAGAUAUCAGGAGGAACACCGAUGGCGAAGGCAGGUCUCUGGGCAUUAACUGACGCUGAGGAGCGAAAGCAUGGGGAGCGAACAGG
rnacentral:rRNA from 1 species